rnacentral:rRNA from 1 species
ACCGCAUGGUCCGAGUUUGAAAGAUGGCUUCGGCUAUCACUUUUGGAUGGUCCCGCGGCGUAUUAGCUAGAUGGUGGGGUAACGGCUCACCAUGGCAAUGAUACGUAGCCGACCUGAGAGGGUAAUCGGCCACAUUGGGACUGAGACACGGCCCAAACUCCUACGGGAGGCAGCAGUAGGGAAUCUUCCACAAUGGACGAAAGUCUGAUGGAGCAACGCCGCGUGAGUGAAGAAGGGUUUCGGCUCGUAAAACUCUGUUGUUAAAGAAGAACAUAUCUGAGAGUAACUGUUCAGGUAUUGACGGUAUUUAACCAGAAAGCCACGGCUAACUACGUGCCAGCAGCCGCGGUAAUACGUAGGUGGCAAGCGUUGUCCGGAUUUAUUGGGCGUAAAGCGAGCGCAGGCGGUUUUUUAAGUCUGAUGUGAAAGCCUUCGGCUCAACCGAAGAAGUGCAUCGGAAACUGGGAAACUUGAGUGCAGAAGAGGACAGUGGAACUCCAUGUGUAGCGGUGAAAUGCGUAGAUAUAUGGAAGAACACCAGUGGCGAAGGCGGCUGUCUGGUCUGUAACUGACGCUGAGGCUCGAAAGUAUGGGUAGCAAACAGGAUUAGAUACCCUGGUAGUCCAUACCGUAAACGAUGAAUGCUAAGUGUUGGAGGGUUUCCGCCCUUCAGUGCUGCAGCUAACGCAUUAAGCAUUCCGCCUGGGGAGUACGGCCGCAAGGCUGAAACUCAAAGGAAUUGACGGGGGCCCGCACAAGCGGUGGAGCAUGUGGUUUAAUUCGAAGCUACGCGAAGAACCUUACCAGGUCUUGACAUACUAUGCAAAUCUAAGAGAUUAGACGUUCCCUUCGGGGACAUGGAUACAGGUGGUGCAUGGUUGUCGUCAGCUCGUGUCGUGAGAUGUUGGGUUAAGUCCCGCAACGAGCGCAACCCUUAUUAUCAGUUGCCAGCAUUAAGUUGGGCACUCUGGUGAGACUGCCGGUGACAAACCGGAGGAAGGUGGGGAUGACGUCAAAUCAUCAUGCCCCUUAUGACCUGGGCUACACACGUGCUACAAUGGAUGGUACAACGAGUUGCGAACUCGCGAGAGUAAGCUAAUCUCUUAAAGCCAUUCUCAGUUCGGAUUGUAGGCUGCAACUCGCCUACAUGAAGUCGGAAUCGCUAGUAAUCGCGGAUCAGCAUGCCGCGGUGAAUACGUUCCCGGGCCUUGUACACACCGCCCGUCACACCAUGAGAGUUUGUAACACCCAAAGUCGGUGGGGUAACCUUUUAGGAACCAGC